UACGAAGGGGGCUAGCGUUGCUCGGAAUCACUGGGCGUAAAGAGCUCGUAGGCGGUGUGUCGCGUCGGCCGUGAAAACCUGCAGCUUAACUGUGGGCUUGCGGUCGAUACGGGCAUCACUGGAGUUCGGCAGGGGAGACUGGAAUUCCUGGUGUAGCGGUGAAAUGCGCAGAUAUCAGGAGGAACACCGGUGGCGAAGGCGGAUCUCUGGGCCUUACCUGACGCUGAGGCGCGAAAGCUAGGGGAGCAAACAGG
rnacentral:rRNA from 1 species